rnacentral:lncRNA from 1 species
UCAGCAUUAUGAAAACGAACUAAUACAGAUAUACAAUUAGCCCUUGUCUUAUGACUUUGAGAAUCACAGAGUUGGAAGGAGAUUUAAUGGCUAGUCAAUUCAAUAUUAUACUUAAUAGAGGACCAUCUUGUGGACACAGAAGCACAAGAUCGCAUCCAUGUGGUAGGCCUUCAAAUCCUUAAAAAUAGUAGGUUCUAUGAUUUCUCUUUUCCAUUUUAAAUAUUCCAAAUGUCGUAAUGUCCCCAUUUUAUAUAAUGGACAUACAAGACAAGCAUUGCAGAUUUACCAGAUAUGCUGAUCUUCAGACUGCUCUUCCUCAUUGCCAGCUAGAUUUGACUGAGCUUCACAUUAGCUUCAAACAGAGUGGGAAGUUAGAAAAUGACAGGGUAGGCAUGGAUGUUGACCUACGUGGGUCCUUGAGAUGGUGUGAUAGGCCCCCCAGUGUGUCCAGCGUUCCACAAUGUGGAACCUGUGAAUACAUUCCUUUGCAUCGCAAAAGAUUUUGCAAAUGUGACCAAGUUAAGGAGCUUGCCAUGGAGAGAGCAUCCUGUAUCCUCCAAGUGGGCCCAAUGUCAUCACAAGGGUCCUUAUAAGAGGGAGGGAGGUGGGUCAGAGUCAAAGAAGGAAUGUGAGAAGCAGAGGUUGGAGUAAUGAAAGGAAGGGGCUAUAUAUCAAGGAAUGCUGGCAGUCUCUAGAAACCAGAAAAAUCAAGAAAACGGAUUCUCCCCUAGAACUUCCAGAAGACAUGCAGCCCUGCCAACACCUUGAUUUUAGCCCAGUAAGACCCCUUUCAGAUUUCUGCCCUCCAGAACUAUAAAAGGACAUAUCUGUGUGCUUUAAGUCACUGAGUUUAUGGUAAUUUGUCACAGCAGUAACAGGAAACCAAUAGAGAUGGGAAAUGUGUGAUUGGUUAGUGAUGAGUGUAAUAAUACGAGCUUGCUGUGCACUGAACACUUUACAUAUGCUACCUUAUUUCAUCCCAGCACAACACUGGGAGUCAAUUUCUCAUUUCCCAGAUACAGAAAUGAACUUAGAUUAAGUAACUUGUCCAAAGCCAGCAAGCUAGAAAGCGUCAUUGAGGGGUGAAGAUUGAACCCAGGUUUCAAGUCUUUCUGAGCCCUUGCCUCUGUGCUAUACUUUACCAUCCUGAUAGGGAGUUGAGCCCCUGGCUUGGGAGAUUGGGGGUAAUGUCGCCAUUGAGUGAGCUAACAAAUUCAAGAAGAGAAAAGGAGAAGAGGAGGUUUUCCUAUAAUUGCAGGUGACAGAACCAGCAUGGUCCAGUGGGCACUUAAGUGCACUGUCGCCUUCCCUACUUUUGAUGUUUUGGGACUCUGACUGAUCCACCACUGGCUUCCUUGUUCCUCAGCUUGCAGACAGCCUGUUGUGGGACUUCACCUUGUGAUUGUGCGUGACUUCUUAAUCCUGUAUUGACAUGGAAUGAUACUCUAGUCAUCUUGGCUUGAUCUAGUGUGCCUCAUUGUCCUGAUCAGAAAAAUCAGAAACUUUGGGGGACCUGAAACAUCAUCUCUCUGGACUUGUUGCAAAGAUGGAAGGUAACACCCUGGAGAUGGUAGAGCAUUGAGACGAGAAGAGUGUGGGUCAUUGAAGACUUCAUGAAACACAGCAGCCACACACCAGCUCUGGACUGCCCCACCCUGACUUUGACAUUAGAGAAGUAAACUUCAUUUUCUUGAGCUACUGUGAUUUGAAAUCUUUGUUACCUACAGCUGGGGCUAAUCCUUUCUGAUACACAUGGCCACCAGCCAUACUAUGAGAAAGCCCCAGGUCAAGAGUGAGGAUCUGGGCUAUUCAAGAUGUAAGACAGGCAUGGCAAAUCUCACCCAUCAUUGACUCCCAGCUCACAUCCUCUGUCCACCUGAACCACAUUUAUAACAUGCUUAGUCCAACUUUUCCAUUUCCUUAGUCAAUUUUCUUUCUACUUUCUGUUAGGGCCAUUUCAUAAGAUGUUUCAAGUUUGUUGUUGUUGUUGUUUGUUUGUUUGUUUUUUAGCACAGUAGAAAUAGCAGUAGUUACUAAAUAGAAACAACACAAAUAGCAGAGAAUCUCAUAUGUAUGAAUGUCAUUAUGCAUGAAGUAAAAAAGAAACUUGAUAAGAAUCAAGUUUCGAAAAAGAAACCAUAAAAGGCAUUACUGUUCACUCAUAUAUGGCUUCCUUCCACUUUCUCUGGGGGUAAAUGGCACUCCCUGUGCAAGUCUCUUUUUAUGGUAGACAUGCAUAUCUGUUAUUUCUGUUUUAGGAUAUAGUGUGUCUCUCUAGGUCACAAAAGGCCAUUGUUGAUCAAGUUAUGAAGAGAAGAGUAUUAAUACCUCAUGAGCA